rnacentral:rRNA from 1 species
GCUUACUGCCACACCGCUGGUUCACGCCCGAUCUCGUUUGAUCUCGGAAGCUAAGAUAGGUUGGGCCUGGUUAUUACUUGGAUGGGAGACCGCCUGGGAAUACCAGGUGCUGUAAGCU